GUGAAUGUCUGUGACAGUAACAUCUUUAAUCUUCAAAAAUGACUUACCAGAAAUGGAGAAAUCAGCAGAACCUACUCAGCCCUCUGAUUUGGUUGAAGUGACACCUCGAUCUGAUCCAGCAAUUGAGUCUUCACACCAUGCCCCUGGGCAUAUGAUACACGUGUAAGAAAAAAGCAGGAGGAGGAAAUGAAAAGAAUGUCCUGUAAAGUGAACAUGAAAAUACGUUGAAAAGAAACUCUGGAGAGAGCUAGUGAACAGUAUAAGGCAAGCAUAGUAACUGAAAAGUGUGUGAUUCUAUGGCUCUGCUGGUACGUAUUCUCAGCCUGUAGAACCCUCUUCCUGGGAUGGCCUGGUGCAUGCCAUCAAGCAUUCUUACAGCUAACCUUCAGCGUGAGUUUAUGUGAGGGCCAACAGAGCUGCACACAAAGGCUGGAAAAGAAUUUGAGGUAUGGUAAUUUUUUUUAAUACAUUUUGGCUUCGUUGUGGUUGAUAUUUUUCCUGUCGUCUUUUGAUUAUGUGCAU
rnacentral:lncRNA from 1 species